UGGCUUCGAGCUGCUGUUGUCGGCCGUGGUGGAGAUUGGGGAUCUUGGGUUUUACAGAGGGAGAAGGAGAAAUAGGGAGAUGGAGGGAGGCAGGGUGGCGACGACGGCGGCAAUUAGCUGCUGCUCGUCGGGAAUCGAGGCCAAGGGCCGCGAUUAGAGUGCCUGAAAUCAGGGGGAUCCGGAGCUCGGCGGCGGCAGCCUAUGGUUGUGCAGUCGCCGGAGAUUUGAAGGGGCGGUGGCUGGGAUUGGGGAUCUAAGGUUGGGGGAAGAGAGGGCGCCUGAUUGUGUGUGCUGUCGUGUGAGAGACGAGAGAGAGGGAGAAGAAGAGAGAGAGCGAGGGCGUCAGGGGGGCGGCGGCGGCUUCCACCGCCGGAGAAGGGAGAGGGCAG
rnacentral:lncRNA from 1 species